rnacentral:rRNA from 1 species
GACAGAGGGUGCAAACGUUGUUCGGAAUUACUGGGCGUAAAGCGUGUGUAGGCGGUCCACUAAGUCGGGUGUGAAAGCCCUGGGCUCAACCCAGGAAGUGCACUCGAAACUGGAGGGCUAGAGUAUCGGAGAGGUUGGUGGAACUCUCGGUGUAGAGGUGAAAUUCGUAGAUAUCGAGAGGAACACCGGUGGCGAAGGCGGCCAACUGGACGAAUACUGACGCUGAGACACGAAAGCGUGGGGAGCAAACAGG